CAGCAGCCGCGGUAAUACAGAGGCCUCAAGCGUUGUUCGGAUUCAUUGGGCGUAAAGGGAGCGUAGGCGGUUGGGUAAGUCGGAUGUGAAAUCCUGGGGCUCAACCUCAGAACUGCAUUCGAUACUGCUUGGCUAGAGGACUGGAGAGGUGAGUGGAAUUCACGGUGUAGCAGUGAAAUGCGUAGAUAUCGUGAGGAAGACCAGCGGCGAAGGCGGCUCACUGGACAGUUUCUGACGCUGAUGCUCGAAGGCCAGUGGAGCAAACGGGAUUAGAUACCCCUGUAGUCCCUGUCUCUUAUAC
rnacentral:rRNA from 1 species